UUUGGCAUUGGGUUUACGCGCAAUAAUGCCGUUGCCGACUGCAUGCAACAGGUGAGUUUUCCCCAGGCCCGUACCGCCGUA
rfam:Pantoea ananatis LMG 20103, complete genome.